GGCCUCGUGGCCCAAUGGCAAGGCGUCUGACUACGAGGGUGAUUCAAGUUCGAUUGAUUCAUUCGGAGCAAUCAGGAGAUUCUGGGUUCGACCCCCAGCGAGGUCA